rnacentral:misc_RNA from 1 species
AAGUCGUAACAAGGUUUCCGUAGGUGAACCUGCGGAAGGAUCAUUAUCACAAAAUGAUUUUAGCUUUGUCCCAAAUUAAUCCUUGGGUCAAGCUAACCUCUUCUCUUAAACCAAUUUAAUUCAAAUGUGAAACUGUUCAGUUGUUUUUUUUUAUGAUGAUCGGCUCUAAGCCUUUCAAAACAAAAAACACAACAUUUUUAACCAAUUGAACCCUAAUAAUUUUUUAGUUAUUUUAUUUAAUUUAGUUCUGAAAUAUUAUUAUAGAAACCUCACUCUUUUGUGUGGUUUUCUUAUAAUAAAUUACAUUACGAAACAAUUAUCAAUAAAACAACUCUUAGCAACGGAUAUCUUGGUUCUC